UUGAAGAGUUUGAUCAUGGCUCAGAUUGAACGCUGGCGGCAGGCCUAACACAUGCAAGUCGAACGGUAACAGGAAACAGCUUGCUGUUUCGCUGACGAGUGGCGGACGGGGGAGUAAUGUCUGGGAAACUGCCUGAUGGAGGGGGAUAACUACUGGAAACGGUAGCUAAUACCGCAUAACGUCGCAAGACCAAAGAGGGGGACCCUCGGGCCUCUUGCCAUCGGAUGUGCCCAGAUGGGAUUAGCUUGUUGGUGGGGUAACGGCUCACCAAGGCGACGAUCCCUAGCUGGUCUGAGAGGAUGACCAGCCACACUGGAACUGAGACACGGUCCAGACUCCUACGGGAGGCAGCAGUGGGGAAUAUUGCACAAUGGGCGCAAGCCUGAUGCAGCCAUGCCGCGUGUAUGAAGAAGGCCUUCGGGUUGUAAAGUACUUUCAGCGGGGAGGAAGGGAGUAAAGUUAAUACCUUUGCUCAUUGACGUUACCCGCAGAAGAAGCACCGGCUAACUCCGUGCCAGCAGCCGCGGUAAUACGGAGGGUGCAAGCGUUA
rnacentral:rRNA from 1 species